CCCAAUGACCGAUCUUACAAUUUAGACUUUUAAGAUAGGCUAUUACCAUGACCGAUCUUAAAAGUCUAGCUUUUAAGAUCGGCUAUUAGC
rnacentral:miRNA from 1 species